GGAGGCUUAGCCCAGUUGGCUAGAGCACUUGCUUGACGUGCAAGGGGUCACAGGUUCGAGUCCUGUAGUCUCCACCA
rnacentral:tRNA from 1 species